rnacentral:rRNA from 1 species
UUUUGAUUAAUAAUUUAAAGUCUAAUCUGCCCACUGAUAAUAUAUUAAAGGGCUGCAGUAUUUUGACUGUACAAAGGUAGCAUAAUCAUUAGUCUCUUAAUUGGUGACUUGUAUGAAGGAUUUGAUGAAAUAUAUACUGUCUCUUUUUGAUUUAUAAAAUUUAAUUUUUUAGUUAAAAAGCUAAAAUUUAUUUAAAAGACGAGAAGACCCUAUAGAGUUUUAUAUUUAUAUAAAUUAAAAUUUUUUAUAAGAUUUAAAAUUUCAAUUUAUAUAAAUAUUUUAUUGGGGUGAUAGAAAAAUUAAAAUAACUUUUUUUAUAAUUUUACAUUAAUAAAUGAAUAAAUGAUCCGUAAUUUACGAUUAUAAGAUAAAAUUACCUUAGGGAUAACAGCGUAAUUUUUUUUUUUAGUUCAAAUAAGAAAAAAAGUUUGCGACCUCGAUGUUGGAUUAAGAUAAAAUUUAAAUGCAAAAGUUUAAAAUUUUUGAUCUG